AUUGAACGCUGGCGGCAGGCCUAACACAUGCAAGUCGAGCGGAGCGGCGGACGGGUGAGUAAUGCCUAGAAAUCUGCCUGGUCGUGGGGGAUAACGUCCGGAACCGGGCGCUAAUACCGCAUACUAUCGGAUGAGCCUAGGUCGGAUUGGCUAGUUGGGGGGGUAAUGGCCUACCAAGGCGACGAUCCGUAACUGGUCUGAGAGGAUGAUCAGCCACCUUGGAACGGAGACAGGGUCCAGACUCCUACGGGAGGCAGCAGUGGGGAACAUUGGGCAAUGGGCGAAAGCCUGAUCCAGCGAUGCCGCGUGUGUGAAGAAGGUCUUCGGAUUGUAAAGCACGUUAAGUUGGGAGGCGUUACCAACAGAAUAAGCACCGGCUAACUUCGUGCCAGCAGCCGCGGUAAUAC
rnacentral:rRNA from 1 species